GGCAUCACAUCCACCUGCCUCUGACUCUCCUACUGAAUGACCAGGUCCCCACUGCCAACUGGGAGCAGGCUGUGGCAUGAAACCAGAGUGGGGCUCAAACUCCUGGAUCAAAUGGCCCCAUUAGGUGCAGCAUAAGGAAAAGACAGUUUCCCAGAGUGCCUUCUCCUUUAAACUGCAUAGAGCGAAGCGGCUCCAGCUCCUAUUAGAGCUAUUUUGUACCUGGCCAUCCCUUCCUCCUUUCUAAGCUGAAGUGGCUGCAAGUGAAGGUAACCUGACUUGUACAGAGCCCAUGCUUGAGACUGUUAACCGGCAAUCAACUCAGCACAUGCACUUAGAUGCUGCAAGGCAUUCGGCACCCUCUAGCUGAAUUCCCAUGAAGCCACCCUCCUCCGCCAGCUCUUCUGGAACAAGUAUCCUAGAGCCUGCUUGUGCUGCCAACAAAAGAACCAGCGGGUUUUUUUGGGUUUUUUUGUUUUGUUUUUUUUUCAGACGGGAUACAAACAUCCCAUGAACAAUAAACCACCUUCAGUCUUCCCCCCCCCCCAAGGAAAUGCGUUACACACAGAAGAACCUGGUGUCUUCCUGAAAUGAGCUGUUCAAGAGAUCCAGCUAACAGGUGUUCCUUGAAAAAGGCCUCCUAAGCUUUUGGAAACAAGGGGACCGGGAGCAUUUGACUUUAAUCAUACAGCGAAAGCAUAUUCAUUUUCACAGCAGGAUGGCAGGCUGCCUGGGCCAAAAAAACAAAGUACCGCAGGGAGGCGUGUGUUUUCACAGGCGCGGUUACAGCAGGACCAAAUAA